AAUGAACGUUGGCGGCGUGGAUUAGGCAUGCAAGUCGAGCGAGAACCGUAGCAAUACGGGGACAGCGGCGAAAGGGACAGUAAUGUGUAGGUACCUACCCCCGGGUUCGGGAUAGAUGCGGGAAACUGCAGGUAAUACCGAAUAAUGUCUUCGGACCAAAGGUGUGAUUCCACCUGGGGAGGGGCCUGCAUCCUAUUAGCGUGUUGGUGGGGUAACGGCUUACCAAGGCGACGAUGGGUAGCGGGUGUGAGAGCAUGACCCGCGUCAUUGGGACUGAGACACUGCCCAGACACCUACGGGUGGCUGCAGUCGAGGAUCUUCGGCAAUGGGCGCAAGCCUGACCGAGCGACGCCGCGUGCGGGAUGAAGGCCUUCGGGUUGUAAACCGCUGUCGUAGAGGAGGAAAUGCAGGAGGGUUCUCCCUUCUGUUUGACCUAUUCUAGGAGGAAGUACGGGCUAAGUUCGUGCCAGCCGCCGCAGUAA
rnacentral:rRNA from 1 species